UACGUAGGGUCCGAGCGUUGUCCGGAAUUAUUGGGCGUAAAGAGCUUGUAGGCGGUUUGUCGCGUCUGCUGUGAAAUUUCGGGGCUCAACCCCGAACUUGCAGUGGGUACGGGCAGACUAGAGUGUGGUAGGGGAGACUGGAAUUCCUGGUGUAGCGGUGAAAUGCGCAGAUAUCAGGAAGAACACCCGUGGCGAAGGCGGCUCUCUGGGACGGUACUGACGCUGAGACGCGAAAGCGUGGGGAGCGAACAGG
rnacentral:rRNA from 1 species